rnacentral:rRNA from 1 species
GGGGCAUCUUGGUUGUAGCAAUACAACUGCCGGCGACCGGCGCACGGGUGAGUAACACGUAUGUAACCUGCCCUCUGCAGGGGGAUAAGCGGAAGAAAUUCCGUCUAAUACCGCAUAAUACAAUUUGGAGACAUCUCCGGGUUGUCAAAGGAGUGAUCCGGCAGAGGAUGGACAUGCGGCGCAUUAGCUAGUCGGCGGGGUAACGGCCCACCGAGGCUACGAUGCGUAGGGGUUCUGAGAGGAAGGUCCCCCACACUGGUACUGAGACACGGACCAGACUCCUACGGGAGGCAGCAGUGAGGAAUAUUGGUCAAUGGGCGGAAGCCUGAACCAGCCAAGUCGCGUGAGGGAAGACGGUCCUAUGGAUUGUAAACCUCUUUUGCAGGGGAGCAAGGCGCGGUACGUGUACCGCGAAGGAGAGUACCCUGAGAAAAAGCAUCGGCUAACUCCGUGCCAGCAGCCGCGGUAAUACGGAGGAUGCGAGCGUUAUCCGGAUUUAUUGGGUUUAAAGGGUGCGCAGGCGGACUGUUAAGUCAGCGGUAAAAUGUCGGUGCUCAACACCGGCCGGCCGUUGAAACUGGCAGCCUUGAGUGAGCGAGAAGUAUGCGGAAUGCGUGGUGUAGCGGUGAAAUGCAUAGAUAUCACGCAGAACUCCGAUUGCGAAGGCAGCAUACCGGCGCUCAACUGACGCUCAGGCACGAAAGCGUGGGUAUCGAACAGGCUUAGAUACCCUGGUAGUCCACGCAGUAAACGAUGAAUGCUCACUGUCCGGGCCGUUUAAGGCCUGGGUGGUCAAGCGAAAGCGUUAAGCAUUCCACCUGGGGAGUACGCCGGCAACGGUGAAACUCAAAGGAAUUGACGGGGGCCCGCACAAGCGGAGGAACAUGUGGUUUAAUUCGAUGAUACGCGAGGAACCUUACCCGGGCUCAAACGGAAGGGGACAGUAUGAGAAAUCAUACAUUCCUUCGGGACCGCUUCCGAGGUGCUGCAUGGUUGUCGUCAGCUCGUGCCGUGAGGUGUCGGCUUAAGUGCCAUAACGAGCGCAACCCCUAUCGACAGUUGCUAGCAGGUAAAGCUGAGGACUCUGUCGAGACUGCCGGCGCAAGCUGUGAGGAAGGCGGGGAUGACGUCAAAUCAGCACGGCCCUUACGUCCGGGGCGACACACGUGUUACAAUGGCAGGUACAGCGGGAAGCCACCCGGCGACGGGGCGCAGAACCCGAAAACCUGUCUCAGUUCGGAUUGGAGUCUGCAACCCGACUCCAUGAAGCUGGAUUCGCUAGUAAUCGAAAAUCAGCCCCGGCGCGGUGAAUACGUUCCCGGGC